rnacentral:rRNA from 1 species
GACGAACGCUGGCGGCGUGCUUAACACAUGCAAGUCGAACGGAAAGGCCCUGCUUUUGUGGGGUGCUCGAGUGGCGAACGGGUGAGUAACACGUGAGUAACCUGCCCUUGACUUUGGGAUAACUUCAGGAAACUGGGGCUAAUACCGGAUAGGAGCUCCUGCUGCAUGGUGGGGGUUGGAAAGUUUCGGCGGUUGGGGAUGGACUCGCGGCUUAUCAGCUUGUUGGUGGGGUAGUGGCUUACCAAGGCUUUGACGGGUAGCCGGCCUGAGAGGGUGACCGGCCACAUUGGGACUGAGAUACGGCCCAGACUCCUACGGGAGGCAGCAGUGGGGAAUAUUGCACAAUGGGCGGAAGCCUGAUGCAGCAACGCCGCGUGCGGGAUGACGGCCUUCGGGUUGUAAACCGCUUUCGCCUGUGACGAAGCGUGAGUGACGGUAAUGGGUAAAGAAGCACCGGCUAACUACGUGCCAGCAGCCGCGGUGAUACGUAGGGUGCGAGCGUUGUCCGGAUUUAUUGGGCGUAAAGGGCUCGUAGGUGGUUGAUCGCGUCGGAAGUGUAAUCUUGGGGCUUAACCCUGAGCGUGCUUUCGAUACGGGUUGACUUGAGGAAGGUAGGGGAGAAUGGAACUCCUGGUGGAGCGGUGGAAUGCGCAGAUAUCAGGAGGAACACCAGUGGCGAAGGCGGUUCUCUGGGCCUUUCCUGACGCUGAGGAGCGAAAGCGUGGGGAGCGAACAGGCUUAGAUACCCUGGUAGUCCACGCUGUAAACGGUGGGUACUAGGUGUGGGGUCCAUUCCACGGGUUCCGUGCCGUAGCUAACGCUUUAAGUACCCCGCCUGGGGAGUACGGCCGCAAGGCUAAAACUCAAAGGAAUUGACGGGGCCCCGCACAAGCGGCGGAGCAUGCGGAUUAAUUCGAUGCAACGCGUAGAACCUUACCUGGGUUUGACAUGGAUCGGGAGUGCUCAGAGAUGGGUGUGCCUCUUUUGGGGUCGGUUCACAGGUGGUGCAUGGCUGUCGUCAGCUCGUGUCGUGAGAUGUUGGGUUAAGUCCCGCAACGAGCGCAACCCUUGUUCACUGUUGCCAGCACGUUAUGGUGGGGACUCAGUGGAGACCGCCGGGGUCAACUCGGAGGAAGGUGGGGAUGACGUCAAGUCAUCAUGCCCCUUAUGUCCAGGGCUUCACGCAUGCUACAAUGGCUGGUACAGAGAGUGGCGAGCCUGUGAGGGUGAGCGAAUCUCGGAAAGCCGGUCUCAGUUCGGAUUGGGGUCUGCAACUCGACCUCAUGAAGUCGGAGUCGCUAGUAAUCGCAGAUCAGCAACGCUGCGGUGAAUACGUUCCCGGGGCUUGUACACACCGCCCGUCAAGUCAUGAAAGUUGGUAACACCCGAAGCCGGUGGCCUAACCGUUGUGGGGGAGCCGUCGAAGGUGGGACUGGUGAUUAGGACUAAGUCGU